rnacentral:rRNA from 1 species
UACGUAGGGUCCGAGCGUUGUCCGGAAUUACUGGGCGUAAAGAGCUCGUAGGUGGUUUGUCGCGUUGUUCGUGAAAACUCACAGCUCAACUGUGGGCGUGCGGGCGAUACGGGCAGACUUGAGUACUGCAGGGGAGACUGGAAUUCCUGGUGUAGCGGUGAAAUGUGCAGAUAGUCAGGAGGAACACCGGUGGCGAAGGCGGGUCUCUGGGCCGAUACUGACGCUGAGGAGCGAAAGCGUGGGGAGCGAACAGG